rnacentral:lncRNA from 10 species
UGUUCCCCGGCUAGGGCUCCGCCUUCGGGGACCUAGGUGAGGACAGGCAUUUCCUGCCCAAAUGUUGCAUUUCCCAAGACCACCCUGGCCCACCACGCCCCCAUCCUGGGCCUAUAAAAACCCAAGACCCUGGCGGGAAGACACAGAAGUGGUUGGGCGUCGUGAGGAACGCAUCGGCGGCAGAACACUCAAGCGGCUGGUUGUUGAGAGCACGCCAGCUGAAGAGCACCCCUGCACACUGGCAGGCCAUCCACAGGUGUCAGAAACUCAGCUCAGCUGGAAGAAACUUGAUGUACCAGGUAUCAGAGUAGCAAGUAAAGCCACAAGCCAAAAAUGAAAGAGAAUCUUUUAAGUGCUUAUCGUGAUGGUGUAAGUAAUUGUCCAAAAGAAACGCCGAUUCCUUCUGUUCCAUUUUUACCUGUGGAUUGUGGAUUGAAAUAACCAUUGGACCAUGAGGAGAGACUCUGAAGAGAGAGACUGCAAUGUGCUGACUGUGCACCAAGUCUGUUCCAGAGAGG